GGAACAUCGGAUUACUCAUCUGGUGGCAGGUGGGUGUCGGAGCUGGCUGUGGACCCCACCGUCUGUAGCCAGUCCGCAGCAGCUUUCCUCUCUGGCAAACUCACAGCAAGCAUGCAGGGUGAUAAAACGGCAGUGACAAAUCCAGUGCAAUCAGGUGGGAAAUCCCCCCUGAGUAAUAACACCUCCUCAUCGCUCAUCCCGACCUCUUCCCCUGAGCCCCGCGUCUGCCGCUGAGAACUCAGCGCUGUUUUACCUUCAGCCCUGAGCUCCGCACAGGAAAAAGAAGAGAAAAGUGAGACACGGGAGUCUGGAGGAUCUCAAUCAAUGGUCAGAAAGGAGUACCCAGAAUGUCUACUGAUUGCCUCACUCCACGCAGAAUAUGCAACAUUCAUCCUUUCUCUAUCGCACCCUCCCUGCAUCUCCCAUCAUUCUUGACUCAGAGAAGAAGGCGUCAAGCAUUCUUUCAAGUACCUUCCCCAGGGUUGUCAUCAACUUAACUCCUCUUCAGUUUCCACUGCUACUAGUAAAGUAAUCAUGAUUUACGAAGAAUCCAUUAUGGAAAAAUUUUGCAUCUAUUAAUUAUCUGACUUAAUCUUUACCAGAUCGUUAUUAAGCAAGAAUUACUAUUACCCUGAUUUUCACAGAUGAGGAAAUUGAGGAUAAGGAAAUUUAGGAACCUGCCUAGAGUUACACAACAAGGAAGUUGCAGAGGGGAGGGUUUUUGCCAAGGUUUCUAUGAUUCCAAUGUUAUCACUUUUCUAAUGCAUCUGCUGACCGAGACUGAAGAAUCAACUACCUCCUCCAGAAGGUCAGUCACCCAAGAAAUCUCUGGGACUGAGGAGAACGGGGGAACAGGAGACAGAUCGGAGAGGCUGGGACAUGGAGAUUUGCUUCAUAUGCAAAGAACUCAUCUCCUAGAAUUUUGCAGCAUCUUCCAGAGUCUAAGCUUGUGUUUUGACGUGCCCUUUCCAAGACAAGGGGAUACGUGAAGCUCAGUGAAUCAGGAGCGUUUACGGAGGAGAAAGAAAAUAAGAUCUUCUCCCCAGCUAAAAAUCCAGGCAUUGUCCUUGGCUGGAAAACCUCUCUUGGAUUGUAUGGACAGACUGAAAAUACAUCUUAGCAUCCAAACAUAGACAGCCAGGGCAUGGACUCAGGCUUGAUGCCCAAAGAGAUCCUCAUCAUCAUACCUUAGAAGUACCACAUCCUUUGUUCCUCCUGGCUAAACCCCUUCAGCCAACAUCCCUGCCUGCAGGGUAAGCAAUUUACUUACAGUUAAACUGCUAAUAAGUAGGGAAUCAUGGAUCAAUCAGAAACACUAAAUAUUUCAAAAUAUUUAGGGUCAAUAUUUCAAAAAACAUUGCAACAUUGGUACAUUUACCUGCUACAAGUUUGCAUGGGCAGGAACCAUAUCAAGUCCAUUAAAAUUCCUGAUUUCCUUAUGUCUAGCAAAAUCUUUGAUCACUAGUUAUGUAUAUUUCAGUUAAUAAAAAUGAAGAGCAUGAGUACUCUUCCAUAAGAAAUGCAGCGUGUUGGGAUAUACAGAAUUUUGCAAAACAGAGUAGAAUGGGGAUGGUUAUCAUAACACAGUGGGCCCAUCAGUGUAGUGGAGUUCAACAUUUUUGAUUCCUUCCAAAUUUCCAGAUUUCAUCUUUGAUGUUGGGAAUGUAAAGACUGAUAUAGCACAAUCAUGGUCCUCCAGAAAUGUAUCAGAUUGUUGGGGAAACAAAUAGAUGCAGAAAUAGUUAUCUGCGUGAUACAGCAAAUACAAACAUGUGCAAGAUGCUCCAAGGAUGUAGAAAGAGAAGCCCUGGUUGGGCUUGUGUGGAGGAGAUGUGGGAAAGGGGGCUUUCUCAAGGAAGCGAUGUCUGAACUCAGACUUGAAGGAACAGCAGAGCUUACCCUCCCCACAGGAGGUUGUACUGUACAGCAUGAGCAAAGAAAGGAGGAAGGUGUAAAGACAUUACCUUUGGUGCAAAGAUUGGCAUAGCUGUCCCACAACCUAUUUGAAUUAACAUUUGUCAAUGAGACACCAACAUCAAAUGCUAUCACUGACAUGUGGAAUCUAAAAAAAGAACACAAUGAACUUCUUUGCAGAACAGAUACUGACUCACAGACUUUGAAAAACUUACGGUUUCCAAAUGAGACCGGUUAGCGGGUGGGGGGAUGCACUGAGGGUUUGGGAUGGAAAUGCUGUAAAAUUUGGUUGUGAUGAUUGUUGUACACCUAUAAAUGUAAUAAAAUUCAUUAAGUAAUAAAAAAGGAGAAAAAAAACUUUACAAUGAUAUAUAAAAAAUAAUAAUGUUUAUCAUGGUAGGUCUCCAUGCAUUAAGAAUUUACUGAGAGGCUAUUCUAUGCCAAGCCUAACAGUGGGCACCCAGGGUGGAUAGCUCAAAUGUCAUGUCUCCAAAAAUCCACAUUUCAGGAGAGAAAACGAUGCAACACUGUGCAAUGAGCUUGAAAGACCUCACCCAUAAUACAUGCUGGACCAGGAGCUUUAUUUGGUAGAAAUGCUUUGAGAAUAUUUUUUUUGUUUUUAUCUUGCCACUGGAUGUGUC
rnacentral:lncRNA from 1 species